rnacentral:rRNA from 1 species
AACUAACAAGGAUUCCCCUAGUAACGGCGAGUGAAGCGGGAAGAGCUCAAAUUUGUAAUCUGGCACUUUCAGUGUCCGAGUUGUAAUCUCGAGAAGUAUUUUCCGCGCCGGACCGCAUACAAGUCUGUUGGAAUACAGCGUCAUAGUGGUGAGAACCCCGUAACUGAUGCGGAUGCCCGGUGCUUUGUGAUAUACUUUCGAAGAGUCGAGUUGUUUGGGAAUGCAGCUCAAAUUGGGUGGUAAAUUCCAUCUAAAGCUAAAUAUUGGAGCAAGACCGAUAGCGAACAAGUACCGUGAGGGAAAGAUGAAAAGCACUUUGGAAAGAGAGUUAACAGUACGUGAAAUUGUUGGAAGGGAAACGCUUGAAGUCAGACUUGCUAUUCGGAGUUCAGCCGCAAGGUGUAUUCUUCGAUUCGCAGGCCAGCAUCAGUUUUUGGGGGUGGAAAAUCGCGGUUUGAAGGUAGCAACCUCGGUUGUGUUAUAGCUUUCCGCUGGAUUCAUCCUUGGGGACUGAGGAACGCAGUACGCUUUUUGCAAGGCUCUCGAGCUUUUCGUACUUAGGAUGCUGGUGGAAUGGCUUUAAACGACCCGUCUUGAAACACGGACC